AAAAUGGAUUUUAAGUGACAGUGAUGACCAACUCAGUGGUGGAACCAAGAAGAAGCUCCAAAGCACUUCCUAAAGCCAAACUUGUACCAAAAAAUGGUCAUGGUCACUGUUUGGUGGUCUGCUGCCCAUCUGAUCCACUUCAGCUUCCUGAAUCCUGGCGAAACCAUUACAUCUGAGAAGUAUGCACAGCAAAUCAAUGAGAUGCACUGAACACUACAAGGUCUGCAACCGGCAUUGGUCAACAGAAAGAGCCCAGUUCUUCUCCAUGACAACGCCUGAGUGCACAUCACACAACCAACACGAGGUUGGUUUAUCAAAAGAUAAAUGAAUUGAGCUAGGAAGUUUUGCCUCAUCCACCAUAUUCACCUGACCUCUUGCUGACUCAAGCAUCUUGACAACUUUGCAGGAAAAAGCCUUCCACAACCAGCAGGAGGCAGAAAAUGCUUUCCAAGAGUUUACGGAAUCCCGAAGGAUGCAUUUUUACACUACAAGAAUAAACAAACUUAUUUCUUGUUGACAAAAAUGUGUUGAUUGUGGUACCUAUUUUGAUUAAUAAAGAUGUGUUUGAGCCUGUUUAUUAUAAUGACUUAAAAUUCAUGGUCCAAAACCACAAUUACAUUUGUACCAACCUAUUAAUUAAUUAAAUAAUUAAUUUAAAAAAACAGACCUCUGCUACCAUUUACGCCUUCUGCUUCAACUUGAAAAUAAAGAUGAGUCUCACACAAACUGUCCAGAGGAGGGAUUAAUGAACCAAGUUAGCUUCCAUUUUCAAGCCCGCAUCACUAACAUGGCUUCAAGAAAGCUGCUUUUAUGUAGACACUGAGGCCGAGUGGCCAAGGGUGUAGCUUCUCUGUAUGAUUGAAGAAGAGAGUGCUUCUCAGUUCAAAACUAGAAGGCAAAUGUGCUUUGUUAUCACAAGUGUGUGUGUGUUUAGAAGGGUCUAUUAUCAAGGUGGACUUUUGGAAGCCUCCUCUCAACUCAGAUUUAAGUCUCUUAGGUUCAUUCAUAUCAGAUGGCAGGCACAGGCUUCAGACCAGUUCCAUUAAAAUGGUGGAGCACAGUCUUCCUUAUGAGAGUUGUUUGUUUGUUUUAAUGGGCUCCAUUACUGAA